rnacentral:tRNA from 1 species
UCUAAUGUGGCAGAAUAGUGUAGUGGACUUAAACCCCACAUAUAAAGUAUAUACUUUUUUUAGAA